rnacentral:rRNA from 1 species
UACGUAGGUGACGAGCGUUAUCCGGAAUUACUGGGCGUAAAGCGCACGCAAGCGGUCUAACAAGUCUGGCGUGAAAUCCUCUGGCUUAACCAGGGGCGGUCGCUGGAGACUGUUAAACUUGAGGCGAUGAGAGGGGUGCAGAAUGCCCGGUGUAGUGGUGGAAUGCGUAGAUAUCGGGGGGAAUACCAGUGGCGAAAGCGGCACCCUGGCGUCGUACUGACGCACAUGUGCGAAAGCGUGGGGAGCGAACGGG